NCACUACUGAAGAGUCCCAAACCAGGACGAAACAGCUGUCCAGUAC
rnacentral:hammerhead_ribozyme from 1 species